UUAAUUGAAGCCAAAAAGAGGCCUGUCACUGUUAAUGAUAUCACUGAAUAUAGUUCCAAUUAAA
rnacentral:tRNA from 1 species